UUUCCAGUAGGAUUUUGUAAAGGAACAGCUCUGGCCGUAUCCGCCGUGCUGCGGCUUAUGAUCAGAAAUAACGAAAUAUCAUCGGCGUACUAAGUGCUUAUACCUUAAAUUAAUUAACAAACACAAAGGGUCGUUUUUUUCUUUCGGUUUAAGUAGAAAUGUGCCACGUGUGUGUGAAAAGUGAUUAGUGCGAUUGAUGUAUCAAAAAGGCUGUGAGCUUAGUGGUGUGGGUGAAUUAAUACAUAAAAAUGACGGAAUUCUUCGGAUCGUGGAACAAGCCCGAAGGCGAUGGAGAGGUGGAGGAGACCGUAGAAACUGUGGAAACGAUCACCACCACCACUACCAAGACAAAGAGGACAGUUCCACAAAAAUCGUCAUCGACCAAGACUACGACGAUGACGACGCCGGCGAAGCUGUUUGGUCGCGAGUUGUCCAACUACGAUGAAGUGGACGUAGAUGAGCUAUUGGCCAAGCUGUCACAAGAAGAGUUGACUAUGCUCGCCAAGGAGGUUGAUCCUGAUGACAACUUCCUCCCUCCCUCCCAGCGCAAUAACUACGACUGUGAGAAGGACCCUACGGGCCCUCUUAAUCGCAAGAAGUUGAUCGAGCACAUCAACAAACAGGCGCUCGAGACUCCAGACCGGCCCGAGGUCAAACCUUACGUCGCUGGAGUCAUUCGAGGGAAGAAGUGGAUCCCGCCGCCCCCACCAGAACGGACGCGCGAAGCGGACGAACAGAUCUCCAUCGACCUCGGCGAUGAGUACGAGCAGGCGUUGGGCACCGCGUCGCAGGAGGAAAUCAUUGACUUGGCUGCCAUCCUCGGUUUCCACUCGAUGAUGAACCAGGACCAGUACCACGCGUCACUCCUCAACAAGGGCCAGCCCGUGGGCCUGGGCUGGGAUGGCAUCACCAAAGCUACCAAGCCCAAGGUGUACCCCGCGGACCCGCCCAACGACACGGACCCGGACUCCACCAUCAAGAGCGUGCAGGACAACGACCAGAAGCUCACUGAUCUCAAUUGGAAUAAUAUUAAGAAUAUAAGCGACGAGAAAUUCGACAAGCUAUUCGAAGGCCUGAAGACGAACACGCACCUGGAGGUGCUGAGCCUGGUGAACGUGGGCCUCACGGACCGGCACGCGGCGCUGCUGGCCGCGGCGCUGCACGCCAACACGGCGCUGCGCGUCGUCAGCGUCGAGACCAACUUCAUCAGCCCCGCCGGCGUCGUGCAGCUCGUCAGGGCCUUGCUCACCAACAACACCGUCGAGGAGUUCCGCGCCUCCAACCAGCGGUCGACGGUGCUGGGCAACAAGAUCGAGAUGGAGAUCACUGCGCUGGUGGAGCAGAACCCCACGCUGCUGCGGCUCGGCCUGCACCUCGAGUACAGCGACGCGCGCCACCGCGUCGCCUCGCAUCUGCAGCGCAACAUCGACCGGAAUUGCCGAUUACAAAAGCGCGCGAGCGCCUCCCUAAGCCUCCGCCUGCCGCGCGGGCCGCCGCCCGGCGUCGGCGUCGACUCCAGCCUCUUCAACAUGACCCCGCCCAGCGCCGAGGCCGUCACGCCCACGGAGCCCCGCGUCGUCACCGAAACCGUAGAGGGCUCCGUCACUCUACAAGCGAAACCGCCAGAAUUCGACACCUCGGAACGAACUAUACCCGUCGAUUUGGAGCCUAACGGAGAAGACAAAUUUGUGAAGGCGGAACGACCCGACUUUAACCCCAAUCCCCACUCUACGGAAAGAUCUAACGCUGCGACUCCAGUUCAGGUUCUUUAACCAACUGCAAAAGGGCGCGCGUAGCCAAUAGAAGUAAAAGUACGCCAGCAGCGACGGAGCAAGACCAGCAACUAGAACCUUGAUCGACCCUUUUUGGUGGGCGCGUCCGCCGCGUGUCCCAGUUCACCCGCAGCCGCAGCUACGUGGUGGGCUGGAUCCCCUGAGCUUGCUGCCACUGCCUAUCUGCGCUCGCUGGCUACUAGGACCCGAGUGCUUGUGCGAAACAAUUCUUAUCUACUUAGACAUGGAUAAAAAUAUAUCAAUGCGGCGUAUGACUCGUAUGCUUUGGCAUGGGUCUUAAGUAUCCUUUUUUACCACGAAGGUGGUUAGGAAUGGCCUGUAAGGUUGUCCUGGGGCUCAUAUUAAUAUGCAUUGUCGACGCUGUGGUUGUGGACGCUGUGUGAACCCACGCUGCAACACAAGCGUGCCUUCGUGUUUACGAAGAAUGUGUUGACCUAAGGUCGCCAGAGUUUUCUGGUGGUGGUUAUCAUACUGGAUGCGAUUCGCACGUCGCUCCGAUGUGCGAGCGGGAUGUCGCUAUAAUACGCGCAUAGCGUUGUCUCGCUCAAACAUCGCAGCGAGCGCGAAUCGCAUCCAGUGAUAGUACAGAACUGUAUGCAGCAAAAGUCCGUAGUGUCGUAAUUUGAAACAAGUUUAUUUGAGCCAACUAAAAUUGAGCUAGCUAUGAACUGAGGAAAUUAUGGUGAUAGAUAAAUUACAUAAUGUUGAACUUUGAUUUUAAAAAGCCUAUUGCUAUUCUUUUACAAGAUUACAUCAAAAUGAAAUUUAUUUAUUUCGAUUAUAUUGUGUAAUAAUUUGCAAACACUAUUAGGACCACCACACGUCAGCGUCUCCCGAGCGUCAGCGUCUAGUCAACUCUAUGGCUGCUGCUCGACGCAACGUUGAUGCAACGGCGCAGCGACGCCAUUUUCCAUAGCGCUGACUAGACGCCGACGCUCAAAAGACGCUAGUGUAGAGUGGCCCUCAACUUGU